ACAAAUGGAUGAUUGGCUAAACUUCUGCAUACCAUGUACUUGGCAUCAACAAAUGGAUCAUUAACUGCUACAACAUCAAUAUCAUCUCUGGAGGUUGCAACUCGCAAUACCAGUCUUCCAAUUCGACCAAAGCCUGUAUAGUAAGUCAUCACAAAAGUUUCUAUUUGUCCUAUGAACAUUAAUGGAAAGGAACCAACCAGCAAAAGAACUAUUUUUAUAAAUGAGGGGAAACAAGUAUUCCAAUGUGGGAAGAAAAAUCUAGAUAACUAAUGCAAUAAGAUGAUCUUCCAGAAUCAAAUUACAUAAAAGUAACAAUAAUAGACACCUUUCCCGAAAAUGAUGAAUAAUCAAUCUGUGAACCUAGAGCAUGGAAGACUUCUUGACAUGAUGAAACAAUUAAAGAUAAGACUUGUAAAAAUUGAAGUACAUUAGUUGAACCCUAGUUUUGAAAGAGGUCAAUCAGGUUUCUUCAGCACACACGCAACCUUACUUAAUCAAGCACUUCAAUGAAAUCAGUAGCUUCUGUUCUUCACAUUCCAGUGCUUUUUGCUUCAUUUUCAUACGCAGAAACCUUGUUCACUAAGCUUAUUAUUAUUCUUCUUUGUCUAUUUCUCCAUUUACGUUCUCUGACAUUAAGUGACAACAUAAUAUAUCGACAGUAUUACUCAUAUACAUUGUGAAUUGUCCCCUCACACAGUUACUGUUCAGUCUACAGAGAGCUUUCUAGACUUAAGACAAGGAUUAAGAACCACAACACAAUAAACUCCUACAAAAAAAAAAGAGUUACACAAAUGUGCUGAAAGAUCUUACCAUUGAUUCCAAUCUUGGUCUUCCCACUUCUCGGAGUUUCUGAACAUGCCAC
rnacentral:lncRNA from 1 species